rnacentral:rRNA from 1 species
CCUACGGGAGGCAGCAGUGAGGAAUAUUGGUCAAUGGGCGGGAGCCUGAACCAGCCAAGUCGCGUGAGGGAAGACGGUCCUAUGGAUUGUAAACCUCUUUAGGCGGGGAGCAAUGCCGGGCACGCGUGUCCGGAGGGAGAGUACCCGCAGAAUAAGCAUCGGCUAACUCCGUGCCAGCAGCCGCGGUAAUACGGAGGAUGCGAGCGUUAUCCGGAUUUAUUGGGUUUAAAGGGUGCGUAGGCGGAUUUUUAAGUCAGCGGUAAAAUGUCCGGGCUCAACCCGGGCCGGCCGUUGAAACUGGGGAGCUUGAGUGGGCGAGAAGUAUGCGGAAUGCGGGGUGUAGCGGUGAAAUGCAUAGAUAUCACGCAGAACUCCGAUUGCGAAGGCAGCAUACCGGCGCCCGACUGACGCUGAGGCACGAAAGCGUGGGGAUCGAACAGGAUUAGAUACCCGUGUAGUC